rnacentral:sRNA from 1 species
AGAGAGGGAGGGGCCCAUGCGCAGCAUGGGAGGGUGAGUGGUUUCACCUUCUCCGGACAGGGCAGGGAAGUGGAAGGCAUUGAAUUGGCGGAGGGUUCACGGCUUGCCCCGUAACCACUCACCCUCCCACGCCUUGCGGCGCGGGCCCCUCCCUCUC